GUAACAAUUUAUUUGCGAUAAUGUAAGAGGCAUUUUGAGUUUUCUUACAAAGUAUGUCUAUCCUGUUACCAUUUUUGUCCCUCCUGUUACCACUGUCUUUGUAACAGGAAGGACAGUAACAGGAUGGAAAAAAUAGUACAUAACUUAAAUUGGUUUUAAAAUAGUCGCUCCCUAAUAAUUGACGUAGUGUUUUUAUACUUCCGGCC
rnacentral:lncRNA from 1 species